AUCAACACAGAAUUGCAAGGGAGAGAGCGGCAGACACGCAAUUGAAAACCCUAGCUCCACGUUCCACCGCCUCGACACCGCACUGUUGUGUUACCGUCACCGUCAAUGUUUCAACUUCAACGGUGGCAGCGGCAAGAAGGGAUUUGAGGGUUGGACACUGAUUUUGGUUUUCUCCUAGCGCAAACCCUCAUCAAUACAUCAAAUCUGAGAGAGGGAGAGAGAGAAAUAGACGAAGAUGAGAGAGGAAGAGAGAGAGAGAGUGGAAUCGGAAUUGGUCUUCCGGCUAUAGGGUUUGGAUUAUGAGUUACGGACUAACCUUCGUCGUCUCAACUCUCAGAGACCAGGUGUUCUAUAAAAUACCAAUGAGAUGAAUUGAUAUGGUUUUGUCUUGAAACACUUGGGUAUCCAGUUAUGGAAGCUAAGAAUAGUCAUUGACUGCAAUUUGCAAGUGGUUGUCGACUCUGGUCGGAGGAGCCGGAUUUGAAAAGGUUGCAGCUUACAUUGUCUCUUCUGAAGCAAUGGCGGAGACAAAUGAGUGCUUAAUUUGGUCGAUUUUGUAUACAGGUACCAUGGUUAGUUUUAUAAAUAUGCCUUUAACCUACAAACUGUUUGUGGCUAAUUUGUUAUAAAGUGUGAAUUUGUUUGGAUCUGCAUAGAAUCUUAUUGAUCUAUGGUUUGAUAAAUUUGGUGAUGAAAUUGUAGAGUUGUAUGAAGGUUUAUACAUGUGCAAGUGAAUGUGUAUUGGCUAAAUACAUUUCGUUCUCUAAUGCAAAACUUCCAGCAACAUCGGCUACAGUGAAGCUAAUGCCGUCUACUGGCUAUACGAAGUCGACCCAACAAUCAUCAAGGCUCUAGCGAAUUCCAAAAGGCGGUUCUCCAUUUACAAUAAAUAAAAAUAUUAUCCUAGACGAGAGUUUAGCCUAAUCAGUGAGUAAAUCGAUACUAUAUAAGGGUAUAAGACCAUACCCUUGCUGCCAUUAUUUAUUUUUAUCAUAUUUUUGUCACUUGCAUACAUAAUACACCUU
rnacentral:lncRNA from 1 species